rnacentral:rRNA from 1 species
CAUGGAGUUUGAUCCUGGCUCAGAUUGAACGCUGGCGGCAGGCCUAACACAUGCAAGUCGAGCGGUAGAGAGAGCUUGCUUCUCUUGAGAGCGGCGGACGGGUGAGUAAUGCCUAGGAAUCUGCCUGGUAGUGGGGGAUAACGUUCGGAAACGGACGCUAAUACCGCAUUACGUCCUACGGGAGUAAAGCAGGGGACCUUCGGGCCUUGCGCUAUCAGAUGAGCCUAGGUCGGAUUAGCUAGUUGGUGGGGUAAUGGCUCACCAAGGCGACGAUCCGUAACUGGUCUGAGAGGAUGGAUCAGUCACGACUGGAACUGAGACACGGUCCAGACU